rnacentral:rRNA from 1 species
GCUAAACAGCUAGCUUAACCACCAAAAUUUUAACCCAAAAUAUUUAUAAUUUUUUUAUGACCCAAACCCAACCAACUAAACCAUUCUCCUGCCUCAGUACGGGCGACGAAAAAGGCACUAAACAUUAUAAGCGAUAGAAAAAGUACCGCAAGGGAAAGCUGAAAAAGGAGUGAAACAACCCAUUUAAGCCCGAAAAAGCAGAGAUUCAACCUCGUACCUUUUGCAUCAUGAUUUAGCCAGUAUGCCCGAGCAAAGAGAACUUUAGUUCGAAACCCCGAAACCAAGUGAGCUACCUCGAAACAGCCUUUCUAGGGCCAACCCGUCUCUGUGGCAAAAGAGUGGGAAGAUUUCCAGGUAGAGGUGAUAAACCUACCGAACUUGGUGAUAGCUGGUUGCCUAAAAAAUGAAUAGAAGUUCAGCUUCGUACUCCUCCCCACUGCUAUACAGCCGCAAAGUAUGGAGAAAAAUACGAAAGUUACUUAAAGAGGGUACAGCCUCUUUAAAAUAGGAUACAACCUAACCAGGUGGUUAAAGAUCAUAUUUAGUAAAAUAACUGCUUCAGUGGGCCUGAAAGCAGCCAUCUGACAGAAAGCGUUAAAGCUCAGGCAACAAAAAAAUUCACUAUCCCGAUAAUUUAUCCAAAACCCCUGUUUCUAUUAGGCCGCCCCAUGCCCCCAUGGAAGAGAUACUGCUAAAAUGAGUAAUAAGAAGACACCUCUUCUCCCUAAGCCCAAGUGUAAAUUAGCUCGGACCCCCCACUAAUAAUUAACAAACCCAACUAAAGAGGGAAAAUUGGUCAUCAACAAACCCAAGAAAAUUUCAAUUCAACUUAUUGUUAAACUUACACCAGAGGUCUUAUAGGAAAGACUAAAUGAAAAGGAAGGAACUCGGCAAACUUCUAAUAAGCCUCGCCUGUUUACCAAAAACAUCGCCUCCCGCAAAAAUCAAAGUAUAGGAGGUCUUACCUGCCCAGUGACACAUGUUAAACGGCCGCGGUAUUUUGACCGUGCUAAGGUAGCGCAAUCACUUGUCUUUUAAAUGAAGACCUGUAUGAAUGGUGAAACGAGGGCUUAACUGUCUCCCCUUUCAAGUCAAUGAAAUUGAUCUGCCCGUGCAGAAGCGGACAUAAUUAUACAAGACGAGAAGACCCUUUGGAGCUUCAGGCACAAAAUUAACUGUGUUUUAAUAUCUAAACAAAAUAGGUACAAGCAAAACAGCACUAAUUCCACUAAGCCUUCAGUUGGGGCGACUGUGGGGGAAAAAAAAGCCCCCAUGUGGACUGGGAUAAUUCCCGAAACUAAGAGGGACACCUCUAAGUCACAGAACAUCUGACCAAUACAGAUCCGGCAAUUAGCCGACCAACGAACCAAGUUACCCUAGGGAUAACAGCGCAAUCCCCUCCAAGAGUUCUUAUCGACAAGGGGGUUUACGACCUCGAUGUUGGAUCAGGACAUCCUAAUGGUGCAGCCGCUAUUAAGGGUUCGUUUGUUCAACGAUUAAUAGUCCUACGUGAUCUGAGUUCAGACCGGAGCAAUCCAGGUCAGUUUCUAUCUGUAAAGCUAUUUUUUCUAGUACGAAAGGACCGAAAAAAUAAGGCCCAUGCCCCCGGCACGCCUUACUCCGACUUGAUGAACAUAACUCAAUCAGACAAAAGAAACGCAAUAAUAUUCCCGAGAGAAGGGAACACU